rnacentral:misc_RNA from 1 species
GAUGAAGAACGUAGCGAAAUGCGAUACUUGGUGUGAAUUGCAGAAUCCCGUGAACCAUCGAGUCUUUGAACGCAAGUUGCGCCCGAAGCCAUUAGGCCGAGGGCACGCCUGCCUGGGCGUCACACGUCGUUGCCCCCCCAUCUACUCCUUCGGGAUUGCGGGGGGCGGAUGAUGGCCUCCCGUGCGCCUCGCCGCGCGGUUGGCAUAAAUGCCAAGUCCUCGGCGACGCACGCCACGACAAUCGGUGGUUGCGAAACCUCGGUUGCCCAUCGUGUGCGGUCGUCGCGCAUCGAGGGCUCGAAAAAAUUGCCGGGUUCCGGCUCGGCUUUCAACGCGACCCCAGGUCAGGCGGGGUUACCCGCUGAAUUUAAGCAUAUCAAUAAGCGGAGGA